GAUGAACGCUGGCGGCGUGCCUAAUACAUGCAAGUCGAGCGAACAGACGAUGAGCUUUCUCCUCUGACGUUAGCGGCGGACGGGUGAGUAACACGUGGAUAACCUACCUAUAAGACUGGGAUAACUUCGGGAAACCGGAGCUAAUACCGGAGAAUAUAUUGAACCGCAUGGUUCAAUAGUGAAAGACGGUUUUGCUGUCACUUAUAGAUGGAUCCGCGCCGCAUUAGCUAGUUGGUAAGGUAACGGCUUACCAAGGCAACGAUGCGUAGCCGACCUGAGAGGGUGAUCGGCCACACUGGAACUGAGACACGGUCCAGACUCCUACGGGAGGCAGCAGUAGGGAAUCUUCCGCAAUGGGCGAAAGCCUGACGGAGCAACGCCGCGUGAGUGAUGAAGGUCUUCGGAUCGUAAAACUCUGUUAUUAGGGAAGAACAAAUGUGUAAGUAACUAUGCACGUCUUGACGGUACCUAAUCAGAAAGCCACGGCUAACUACGUG
rnacentral:rRNA from 1 species